rnacentral:rRNA from 1 species
AUUGAACGCUGGCGGCACGCCUAAUACAUGCAAGUCGAGCGGCAGCGCGAUAUGUAGCAAUACAUAUUGGCGGCGAGCGGCGGACGGGUGAGGAACACGUAGGAACCUACCCUCGAGUGGGGGAUAACCAAGGGAAACUUUGGCUAAUACCGCAUGAUUUCGAGAGAGCAAAGCUGCCGCAAGGUGGCGCUCGAGGAGGGGCCUGCGUCCGAUUAGCUAGUUGGUGAGGUAAGAGCUCACCAAGGCGAUGAUCGGUAACUGGUCUGAGAGGACGACCAGUCACACUGGGACUGAGACACGGCCCAGACUCCUACGGGAGGCAGCAGUGGGGAAUAUUGGACAAUGGGGACAACCCUGAUCCAGCGAUGCCGCGUGAGUGAAGAAGGCCUUCGGGUCGUAAAGCUCUUUAGGUUGGGAAGAAGAGUGAUGGAGGAAAUGCUAUCACUUUGACGGUACCGACGGAAUAAGCACCGGCAAACUCUGUGCCAGCCGCCGCCGUAAGAC